CGCCGCGUGAGCGAAGAAGGCCUUCGGGUCGUAAAGCUCUGUUGUCAGGGAAGAACAAGUGCCGGAGUAACUGCCGGCACCUUGACGGUACCUGACCAGAAAGCCACGGCUAACUACGUGCCAGCAGCCGCGGUAAUACGUAGGUGGCAAGCGUUGUCCGGAAUUAUUGGGCGUAAAGCGCGCGCAGGCGGCCUCUUAAGUCUGAUGUGAAAGCCCACGGCUCAACCGUGGAGGGUCAUUGGAAACUGGGGGGCUUGAGUGCAGAAGAGGAGAGCGGAAUUCCACGUGUAGCGGUGAAAUGCGUAGAGAUGUGGAGGAACACCAGUGGCGAAGGCGGCUCUCUGGUCUGUAACUGACGCUGAGGCGCGAAAGCGUGGGGAGCGAACAGGAUUAGAUACCCUGGUAGUCCACGCCGUAAACGAUGAGUGCUAAGUGUUAGAGGGUUUCCGCCCUUUAGUGCUGCAGCAAACGCAUUAAGCACUCCGCCUGGGGAGUACGGCCGCAAGGCUGAAACUCAAAGGAAUUGACGGGGGCCCGCACAAGCGGUGGAGCAUGUGGUUUAAUUCGAAGCAACGCGAAGAACCUUACCAGGUCUUGACAUCCUCUGACACUCCUGGAGACAGGACGUUCCCCUUCGGGGGACAGAGUGACAGGUGGUGCAUGGUUGUCGUCAGCUCGUGUCGUGAGAUGUUGGGUUAAGUCCCGCAACGAGCGCAACCCUUGAUCUUAGUU
rnacentral:rRNA from 1 species